ensembl:processed_transcript Eldr Egfr long non-coding downstream RNA
AUCACCGUAAGGGAAGGAAAGAAAGGAGGCUCAAGUCACUGCAAGGUCCAGCGUCCCCGCUGAGUGACAGCGGGCACAUGGGCGGGACUUACAAAGAGCGGGACUUACAAAGGGCGGGACUUACAAAGGGCGGGACUUACAAAGGGCGGGACUUACAAAGGGCGGGACUCCCAAAGUGUUUUGGUAGCUAGCGAGGGCUUUGAGACGGCCGAGAGUUUGAGCGCCAAGGCUCUCUCUCCACAGGGGACUCUGCAACCUGACUAGGUGCUCCUUCCCUGCGCAUAGUAACAUUCCAGGGAGCUGCCUGGGGAAGCUUAACGCUCGAUGCGGCCAAAGAGAUGUCAUGAUCUUGAGGGGAGCUUUUUCUGCUAUGGAUAUGAGACCGUGCUUGGAAGAAAUGAUUUAUUGCAAAUUCACUAUGAUGGACAAUCUGUCUUUCAGGGUGGUAGGAAUGUAUCAUGGUGGGAGAGUCAUGGCAGCAGGCAGCUGGAACAGGACACUAAAUAAUAACACCUUCAACUACAAGCAGAAGUCAAGGAGAACAGGAAGCAACAACUGGAACCUUGAGAGCCAAGGGAGAUUGUGGAGAGGAUGUGAGCAGAUGGCCGCUGAGGAUAGCUGACCGGGUGGGCUGGAACCUAGGCCAGGACCUGCCACCUGAGGAUUGUGCCUGCGAUGUCCAUAUGAUUGUGAACAGCCAAACAGGGAGCUCUGCUCUAAAGUUGAAAAUGAAAAGAGAUAAAGCCUU